rnacentral:rRNA from 1 species
AAAGUGGCGAACGGCUGAGUAACACGUGGGCAACCUGCCCUUUGCACUGGGAUAGCCUCGGGAAACCGAGGUUAAUACCGGAUACUCCAUAUUUGUCGCAUGGCGAAUAUGGGAAAGCUCCGGCGGCAAAGGAUGGGCCCGCGGCCUGUUAGCUAGUUGGUGGGGGUAGUGGCCUACCAAGGCAAUGAUGGGUAGCCGGGUUGAGAGACCGACCGGCCAGAUUGGGACUGAGACACGGCCCAGACUCCUACGGGAGGCAGCAGC